GACGAACGCUGGCGGCGUGCUUAACACAUGCAAGUCGAACGGAAAGGCCCUGCUUUUGUGGGGUGCUCGAGUGGCGAACGGGUGAGUAACACGUGAGUAACCUGCCCUUGACUUUGGGAUAACUUCAUGAAACUGGGGCUAAUACCGGAUAGGAGCACCUGCUGCAUGGUGGGGGUUGGAAAGUUUCGGCGGUUGGGGAUGGACUCGCGGUUUAUCAGCUUGUUGGUGGGGUAGUGGGUUACCAAGGCUUUGACGGGUAGCCGGCCUGCGAGGGUGACCGGCCACAUUGGGACUGAGAUACGGCCCAGACUCCUACGGGAGGCAGCAGUGGGGAAUAGUGCACAAUGGGCGGAAGCCUGAUGCAGCAACGCCGCGUGCUGGAUGACGGCCUUCGGGGUGGAAACCGCUUUCGCCUGUGACGAAGCGUGAGUGACGGUAAUGGGUAAAGAAGCACCGGCUAACUACGUG
rnacentral:rRNA from 1 species